rnacentral:tRNA from 1 species
GGUAUAGCUCCGUGGUAGAGCAUGUGCGUCGCAUGCAUAAGGCCUUAGGUUCAAUCUCUAGUACC